rnacentral:tRNA from 1 species
GCAGGAUAGCUCAGCCCGGUUAGAGCAGAGGACUGAAAAUUCUCGUGUCGCCAGUUCAAAUCUGGUUCCUG